rnacentral:rRNA from 1 species
UACGUAGGGUCCAAGCGUUAUCCGGAAUCACUGGGCGUAAAGCGUGCGUAGGUGGCGUGUUAAGUGUGAUGUUAAAUCGUGUGGCUCAACCAUAUCGAUGCAUCACAUACUGGCAUGCUAGAGGGAAGCAGAGGCAAGUGGAAUUGGUAGUGUAGCAGUGAAAUGCGUAGAUAUUACCAGGAACACCAAUGGCGAAGGCAGCGUGCUGGGCUGCUUCUGACACUGAGGUACGAAAGCGUGGGGAGCGAACAGG